GAUCAUGGCUCAGGACGAACGCUGGCGGCGUGCCUAACACAUGCAAGUCGAGCGAAUGAAGUUCCUUCGGGAACGGAUUUAGCGGCGGACGGGUGAGUAACACGUGGAUAAUCUGCCUUCCAGUUUGGGAUAGCACAUGGAAACAUGUGAUAAUACCGAAUGAGAUACACUUGACGGAGGUUAAGAGUAGGAAAGCUCCUGCGGGAGCGCUGGAAGAUGAGUCCGCGGCCCAUUAGCUAGUUGGCGGGGUAAAGGCCCACCAAGGCGACGAUGGGUAGCCGGCCUGAGAGGAAAGCCCCCCACAUUGGAACUGAGACACGGUCCAAACUCCUACGGGAGGCAGCAGUGAGGAAUAUUGGUCAAUGGGCGAGAGCCUGAACCAGCCAAGUAGCGUGCAGGAUGACGGCCCUAUGGGUUGUAAACUGCUUUUAUGCGGGGAUAAAGCGGGCGACGUGUCGCCCCUUGCAGGUACCGCAUGAAUAAGGACCGGCUAAUUCCGUG
rnacentral:rRNA from 1 species